UUUGUCAAGCCAGACAAAUGCUCUUGUUUGAAUGUCUAUCUAGAUGGAGCCUUCAUGCUCAUAUGAAAGAUGCAUGAAUCUGCAUGGCUAAAGCGCUAUAAAGUAAUCAAGGGAUUUGAAAGGGUCGACACCAUCUUUGCAAGAGUUGCGUCGUUCACUUUGAUCUCAGACCUACAAAUAUAUUUCUGGAUAACAGCGUGGUGACAAAAAUUGCUGAUUUUUGUCUGACAAGUUGCUUGGAGGAAAAUCAAAACCAAGCUGUUGCUUCAAAACAGUUCGGAUCUAUGUGGCCUAUUGAGAUUGCCAUGGAUAGUUCAUCAGUUGUGCAGGUAAGCUCAAUAUGGCAUUCUCCACUAACCUCUUUUUCUUUUGAGCCAGCAUACUUCCCCAUUUCCACCUUUGUUGCUCCGAGCUGGUGGAUGAUUGCAAGCAUCGUUGAUUCUCCAACAGAAAAGGGUUCCAGUAGGCGGCAGUGAAGUUCAGCUAAGAGAUGUUUGGAAACUGUCUGUUCAUCGAUAUAGUGGUGGCUGAACUAGAGGAUAUUCGGGCAGAAGCUCAGGGAGCAACAUCAGGAUUCAGGGGGGGAGACAAGCCAGGAAGAGGGGAUGGCCAAGGCUUUGAAGAUUGACCCCUUUGCAUCAUACUCCAUGACAGCUACUCCAGUUACCUGCUCGGCUGAGAUUUAGGAUGGUGUCUCAAAGGAUGGCCAAAGCAUUGAAGAUUGACCCCUCUGCAUCAUACUCCAUGACAGCUACUCCAGUUACCUGCUCGGCUGAGAGUUAGGAUGGUGUCUCAAAACAUUCGAGAAAGCCUGUUUGGGUGGAAUGAUUUUCAGACUUAUGCUUGAUUUCCAUUACGGCUUUAGCCUCUUUGUAUACCUUUACAGUAGGGCACAAUGGAGUUGUUGUGUAAACAUUCGGAUUGAAUGGAUAUACGAAUGCAUUGGUUAUUCUUA